UACGGGGGGGGCAAUCGUUGUUCGGAAUUACUGGGCGUAAAGGGCUCGUAGGUGGCCAACUAAGUCAGACGUGAAAUCCCUCGGCUUAACCGGGGAACUGCGUCUGAUACUGGUUGGCUUGAGUUUGGGAGAGGGAUGCGGAAUUCCAGGUGUAGCGGUGAAAUGCGUAGAUAUCUGGAGGAAUACCGGUGGCGAAGGCGGCAUCCUGGACCGACAUUGACGCUGAGGAGCGAAAGCUAGGGGAGCAAACGGG
rnacentral:rRNA from 1 species